ACUGAAAAUAAUAUUCAAGUCUAUCGAGAAUAUAUUAAAUAUAUAAUGAUAAUUACAUAAAAUGCAAGGAACUGAAUAAAUUGCGACAUAUUUUUACAAUGAGUUAUUUAAUUGAUAUAAGGAUUUAGUAUAAGCUACGUUAAACCUGAAAUGGAUUACAUCAAGGAUGUUUCGAGAUAUCAAGGAAUUAUAUAACAAGUAAACGCAGCUUGUUACAUAAUUAAGCAAAGAUGACAUCGAUGCACAGAGAAUCGUGAUGGAUUAUAAACUAACUCAAGGAAUACACAUGGAAAAUAUAUAUUGAGAACGUCCAUGAUUGUCCUACCUCAACUCCAGAUGAUUGACUAAUCAAAUUCAGAGUUAAUACUUAUACAAUCAUAAAAUAUAUGUCAAUAUACUCGAAGGAUUAUAAGCUGGAUGAUUUUACCAUAGCAGAUGUCUCGUGUAUUAUUGAUAUCAAGUUUUAGGACAAAGCAAUUAUGUGCUCGUCAGCACCAUCUCCCACCCAAAAUGCACCCCCUUGUCGAGCCUUGUUCUCGGAAUUAAAAACAAUAAGCUACUAGUAAAUAGAUAGAUUUAUACCUGUCAAUAUAAUUGAGAUAUUACGAGCUGGAUGACAUUAAUAUAGCAGAUAUUUCGUGUAUUAUUGAUAUCAAAGUCCAGAAAUUUGUUAACUGACUUAUAACCAGAUGAUGAUCCUAAACUAUAGUUAUGGAAUCAACAAAUUUGUACUUUCCUCUCUAAACAUCUGUAAAUGAUUAACUCUGAUUUAUUAUGUCAUAUAUCUAAGAAAUUGCUAAUUCUCUAUAAUAAAAAGAAAAAUGUACCACGAAA